AGGAGGAACAGCCCCAGUGGCAGGGCCACUCUGGAAACCUAGAUUCAGCUCCGGAGCUCUCCGUCUGCAGGGCCUGGAGGCUCCGGGCGGGG
rfam:Canis lupus familiaris chromosome 19, whole genome shotgun sequence.